rnacentral:rRNA from 1 species
UACGAAGGGGGCUAGCGUUGUUCGGAAUUACUGGGCGUAAAGCGCGCGUAGGCGGUUUUGCAAGCCAGAGGUGAAAUGCCUGAGCUCAACUUAGGAAUUGCCUUUGGGACUGCGAGGCUUUGAGGACUGGAGAGGUGAGUGGAAUUCCCAGUGUAGAGGUGAAAUUCGUAGAUAUUGGGAAGAACACCGGUGGCGAAGGCGGCUCACUGGCCAGUUUCUGGCGCUGCAGCGCGAAAGCGUGGGGAUCAAACAGG